rnacentral:rRNA from 1 species
UUUCGGAUGGAUUCUGAGAUGACUGAGUGGCGGACGGGUGAGUAACACGUGGAUAACCUGCCUCACACUGGGGGACAACAGUUAGAAAUGACUGCUAAUACCGCAUAAGCGCACAGUACCGCAUGGUACAGUGUGAAAAACUCCGGUGGUGUGAGAUGGAUCCGCGUCUGAUUAGCCAGUUGGCGGGGUAAUGGCCCACCAAAGCGACGAUCAGUAGCCGACCUGAGAGGGUGACCGGCCACAUUGGGACUGAGACACGGCCCAAACUCCUACGGGAGGCAGCAGUGGGGAAUAUUGCACAAUGGGCGAAAGCCUGAUGCAGCGACGCCGCGUGAGUGAAGAAGUAUUUCGGUAUGUAAAGCUCUAUCAGCAGGGAAGAUAAUGACGGUACCUGACUAAGAAGCCCCGGCUAACUACGUGCCAGCAGCCGCGGUAAUACGUAGGGGGCAAGCGUU